UGGGGAAUAUUGCGCAAUGGGGGGAACCCUGACGCAGCCAUGCCGCGUGAAUGAAGAAGGCCUUAGGGUUGUAAAGUUCUUUCGGUAUUGAGGAAGGUUGAUGUGUUAAUAGCACAUCAAAUUGACGUUAAAUACAGAAGAAGCACCGGCUAACUCCGUGCCAGCAGCCGCGGUAAUACGGAGGGUGCGAGCGUUAAUCGGAAUAACUGGGCGUAAAGGGCACGCAGGCGGUUAUUUAAGUGAGGUGUGAAAGCCCCGGGCUUAACCUGGGAAUUGCAUUUCAGACUGGGUAACUAGAGUACUUUAGGGAGGGGUAGAAUUCCACGUGUAGCGGUGAAAUGCGUAGAGAUGUGGAGGAAUACCGAAGGCGAAGGCAGCCCCUUGGGAAUGUACUGACGCUCAUGUGCGAAAGCGUGGGGAGCAAACAGGAUUAGAUACCCUGGUAGUCCACGCUGUAAACGCUGUCGAUUUGGGGGUUGGGGUUUAACUCUGGCGCCCGUAGCUAACGUGAUAAAUCGACCGCCUGGGGAGUACGGCCGCUAAGGUUA
rnacentral:rRNA from 1 species